AAAAGGGGAGCUGGUAAUGGAGCCGGCUGAGAUGGGGUGUCUUCACUCCGAACCCGGGAACCUGAUCUGGAUAAUGCCAGCGUAGGAAGCAUACAU
rnacentral:ncRNA from 1 species